AGUGGGGAAUAUUGCACAAUGGAGGAAACUCUGAUGCAGCCAUGCCGCGUGUGUGAAGAAGGCUUUCGGGUUGUAAAGCACUUUCAGCGAGGAGGAAAGGGUGCAGGUUAAUACCCUGUAUCUGUGACGUUACUCGCAGAAGAAGCACCGGCUAACUCCGUGCCAGCAGCCGCGGUAAUACGGAGGGUGCGAGCGUUAAUCGGAAUUACUGGGCGUAAAGCGCGCGUAGGCGGUUAAUUAAGUCAGACGUGAAAGCCCAGGGCUCAACCUUGGAACUGCAUUUGAAACUGGUUAACUAGAGUUUUGUAGAGGGUGGUAGAAUUUCAGGUGUAGCGGUGAAAUGCGUAGAGAUCUGAAGGAAUACCAGUGGCGAAGGCGGCCACCUGGACAGAGACUGACGCUGAGGCGCGAAGGCGUGGGGAGCAAACGGGAUUAGAUACCCCGGUAGUCCACGCAGUAAACGAUGUCUAUUAGAAGUUUGUGGCUAUAUGCCGUGGGUUUCAAAGCUAACGCAUUAAAUAGACCGCCUGGNGAGUACGGCUGCAAGGUUA
rnacentral:rRNA from 1 species